ACGGAAGGCAGCAGUGAGGAAUAUUGGUCAAUGGGCGGAAGCCUGAACCAGCCAAGUCGCGUGAGGGAGAAGGUCCUACGGAUUGUAAACCUCUUUAGCCGGGGAGCAAUAAACCGCUCGUGAGCGGUGAUGAGAGUACCCGGAGAAUAAGGAUCGGCUAACUCCGUGCCAGCAGCCGCGGUGAUACGGAGGAUCCGAGCGUUAUCCGGAUUUAUUGGGUUUAAAGGGUGCGCAGGCGGUCUCUUAAGUCAGUGGUCAAAUCGUGGUGCUCAACGCCAUCCCGCCAUUGAUACUGGGAGACUUGAUUUCGGUCGAGGUAGGCGGAAUUCGUCGUGUAGCGGUGAAAUGCAUAGAUAUGACGAAGAACCCCGAUUGCGUAGGCAGCUUACCAGCCCGACAAUGACGCUCAUGCACGAAAGUGCGUGGAUCGAACAGGAUUAGAUACCCUGGUA
rnacentral:rRNA from 1 species